ACUGUCUUCGUCUCUCAGGUGGGGGAAAAGGGAUAUAGAAGCAUAUAGUCUAAGCUGGGAGUUAAAAACACUAGGUUAAAAUCCUAGCUUUGCUACUGAAUAGCUGUGUGACCUUAGGCAAUUUACUUAACCUCUCUGAGUCUCUGUAAAAUGGAGGGAAAAAAUGCUUCUCUGGAAGAGUGGUUAAAUACUUGAAAGAGGCAAUGUAACUGUCUUAUGCCUAGAGCAUAGUAGGUGCUUAACAAACAGUAGCUUAUUUCUGGCAUUAUAAUUAGAUGAGGGGAAGGUCCCUCCUAGCACAGACCCUGGAAGAUUCUAUGACUCAGGGAGUGGGCAGAUUGCAUCCAUGGUCCCUGCCCUCAUUUGUAGCUACCUGAAGGGCCUGUCUCAGCAAUAAAAACAGCCAAGUGAGCACAGGCAGAGAAACAUCAUUUCCUCCUCCUCUUGAGGGCAGGAGUCCAGGCGCAGCCCCAGCAGCAGGUUGGAAUAAAUGCAGAUGCUGCAAAUUGAUGGAGGCCUGGUGUCUUCCAGAGUGGAGGUAAAGGCUGGCUGAGGAAUCAGUGAGGCCAGGAAGAGGGCUCAGCUGAGCAACUGAUCAAAGCAUCCCUCUUCAGGAAGGAGCUUCCUGUGUUUUCUCUGGGAACUCACCUGUUUUCCACUCCAGACUCUCCAAGAUAUGCAGAGCUUUGGGCCAGGAUCCUACAGCCACGGGUCAUGCAGAGCCAGUUGGCCACAUCCUUUGGGCCAAAUUUGGUCCUAACCAGGUCUUACCACGGUAACUGCUAACCAGUCCAUCUUCAGUUAAUAUUUCAUGCCUCUGCUUUGCAUUACUGUGUGACCUGGAGCUGAUCACAGCCCUCUGAGUCUUAAAGGGGUUGGACAAGGCCAACUAAACAUUAGAAACACCUGAAAGUGCUGGUUAAAAGGAAGAAUGCAUGAGCUUCACUCCAGAUUUACUAUAUCAGAAUUUCCAGGGUCAGGGUCCAAGAAUCUGCAUGUUUAAUACGCUUUCCACAUGAUUUUUCCCCCCUCUGGACUUAAGAAAACAAUGGGCAAGUCAGCUCAUGAAGAACUUUUCAGAUAUUCAGACUAUUAUUCUGAGAGAGAAAAUAUUGGCAGAGAACAGAUGGGAUUUUUCUCAAGGAAAAGAAAUGGAAAUCCUACAUCUUGCAAGAAAUAGAAAAAAAUAAAUAAACUGUUUGAAGAAGAAUCACAUCAGGCUGGCAGGAGAGAGCCUGCGGCUCGGUGUCUGACCCAGAAUGUUAAAGCCAGCCUGGCUUGGCUCCAGGAUAAAGGACACUCUGUCAGCCUCUCCACAUUGAUUCAUCUCCCCAGCCCCAAGAUCAGGAGAGCAUUCUGUUCCUUGAAGCAUUUUAUGACUGUAAGUCAGAAGUGCUGCAGUUUUAAUAAAAAGCUGUAUUGUCCUGA
rnacentral:lncRNA from 1 species